CAUACACAAAAAAAGUGAAUGAUUUGUCUAGUAACUGCUAUUUAUUGAGGAAUCAAGGACAAAAAUAUUUUAUAUAGCCUUAUAAACAUUAAGAACACAUCUCAGAUACUAAAAAUUGUAGUAUCUGUCAGACUUCCUUGUCUAGUAACAAUCCUAUCUGAGUCAUCUAGGACCAAAACAUUUUAUACACAGCCCUAUGCAAAUUAAAGUUACAAUUCAGGGCUGGUGAGAGCUCAGUCAGUAACCUGUCUACCAUGUAAGCAUGAAGGCUUGUAUUCAAUCCCUAGAAUCCAGACAAAUAAAAUAGCUUUGUUUGCUAACACACACUUAGAAUCCAACACUUGGGAGGUAGAGACAGGUAGAUCCUUAGGGCUUGCUGGCCAGCUGCCAUAGUUUACAUGGCAAGCUCCAGAAACCCUGUCUCAAGAAACAAAUAUCAAAGAAAGAAAAAGACAUAAAGUGCAAAUAAAACAAAACCCACAAAAUAAACAACAACCAAAAAAUAAGGUGGACUAUUCUCAAGGUCCUCACAAGGUGGCCUCUACACUUGAGAAUGUACCUGAGUGCAUAUAUACAAACCUCCACACAAACUACAAUCUAGACUUAAACUUGUCAAGUUGUGGAUAGACUGUUUACCUUUCAGUCUUUCACUGAUAAGAGUUCUCAUUUGCAAGAUAAUUCAGCACCUAUGUUACAGAACAACACCUUUACCUUCUGCUACUGCAAACAGUCUUGAAAAAAAAAAUCUGAAUUGAGUUCAUAAACCAUUUUCUAAGUCUUUAUAAAGUAUCCAUGUAAUUAUACAUAUAAUGUAGUGGCAGGAAAACAAGCUAAAAGUAAAGGUGAGCUCCUAAUGGUUCCCAAGACAUCUCUGUGCAAGUGUCCACAUGCUCACAUUUGCACAGAAAAGUGGAGGACCAACAUCUUAGGCAAUAAUUACAACGGAAUCUAAACCGUCAGCCACACUGCUGCCCUUACUAGUGAGGACUCCCUCCUCAGGCAAGAGUCCCCCUUCAGCAGACAGCAAUUUUGUAGCCCCAGAAUAACCCUUGAGAGCAAGUGAUGGAAUUUCUACAUCAACUCAGAAGUUAAGGUGAAAAUUUAGAAAAAUAAGAACUUCUCUUUCUCCCUUUUAAAGAAUCAUCUUAAAUACAUAAACAAUUUCUAUUUGGAAGAAUUUGCGGCAAGAAAAAUAGUUUGUUUUUUAACCUCACAUGGUUGAAAGAAGAUAAAUCCCUAGCCUGGACAAAUAAAUAGUUAAAAUCAGGACUAAUUCUACAAAGAUUUCAGUUAAACAGAAUGCAAAGGAACAUUUAUUAUCAUUAGCAAAAAGACCACAAACAUAAUGUUUACUUUUUAUCCUUUUCAAGAGCUACACAAGAGAUCUACACAUUGGGGUGCAUUAUACAAGUACUCUAACAUAAGGAUUUAAGAAUUAGACACUGAUACAUAAAAUGUGACAUGUGAAAAACUUAAAUUGAAACAAUAUUUCAUUAUACAGCGAAAGAUAAGGCUAUAAGUUCCACUCCCAGGGACAGCCACGGUGGCUGGGCUGGCUCCACACCACUGCUGCUGCAUCUCCAAAACACUGGGCUCCUGGGCUGCAACUGGACUUCACCUUCCUCGAGAGCCUCUCCUGGACUCUUCAGGAACCUGAGCCAUGCCAGACAGUGCCAAGCCUCAGUCACUCUCCAUGAGCCCUUCAUGCCUUCAAAACCAGUACUACCUGGGUGACUCUUACAAUAACUAGCUGAGCCACCAGCAGGAGGUAAGACCUUGGCUGCCUCUGGACCACAGGUUUUGUGUUUGACUUUGAGUUAACACUUCCCAGAAGACUUCACCUCAAUAGUGCUGGCCUCUUACUUAAUCACAGCUGAUUCUUCAGCCCCAGCUGCCUAGCACCCAGAUUGUCUCAAUAAAGUGAAGGUUUUACUUUAGGUUCAAGUUUCUUGUUAAUCACAGCCAAAUCUUCAGCUCCAGAUGACCAGACACUAUAUAUUCUUCAAGCAAAAAACUUGGUAGGGUUUUUGCUUUCCUCUGAAACUUCAUACGCCAGGACUCCGUUAUCUGCACUGCUCUCAACAUUCUUACCUUCCAAGCUCACUGAGCUCAACACUCAAUGGUUUUUCUAGCCCCAAGUUCCAAAGUCCUUCCACAAUCCUCCCAAAACCAGCAUGGUCAGGUCUGUCACAACAAUACCCCACCACCCUGGUACCAACUUGUCUUAGGGUCACUAUUGCUCUGAUGAAACACCAUGACAAAAAGCAACCUGGGGAGGACAGGGUUGAUUUCACUCACAGUUCCACAUAACAGUUCAUCAUCAGAAGCAGUGAGGGCAGGAACUCAAGCAGGGCAGGAACCUGGAGGUAGGAACUGAUGCAGAGGCCAUGGAAGGGUGCUGCUUGGUGGCCUGCUCAUCAUGGCUUGUUCACCCUGCUUUUUUACAGAACCCAGGUCCAUCAGCACAAGGAUGGUACCACCCACAAUGAACUGAAUUUCACUCCAAUCACUAAUUAAGAAAUGCCCUACAAAUGGAUCUUAUGGAGGCAUUUUCUCAAUUGAGUCCCCCUCCUUUCAGAUAACUCUUAGCUUACGUCAAGUUCACAUAAAAACUAGCCAGUACAGUGGUGGUGUGUGUCUAACAUCCCAGCACUGGUGAGACACAGGCAGGCUAAUCUAUAGGGUUUGCUAGUCAGCAAGCCUAGCAUAGUCAGCUAUCUGCAAAUCCAGAAAGAAACCCUGACUCCAAAAAGCAAGGUAGAUGACUCCUAACAUAGGGGGCAGAGGAAGUCCUGAGUGAGUAAAAUCCUGAGUAAAUGUGUGCUGUUGACAUGGGCACAGACAUGUCAAGAAACCACAGGCUCAGGGAUGGCAAAGUCUUCCUCUGGGUACCAAAUACAAGUAGGGACAGUGUGUACAGAAAAUGUGCCCCAUAGACUUCCCCUUCCAGAUAUUAAUACCCUGAACACUGCUCCCCUACAGAGAGUGGUCCUACAGAGAUUAGCUAAACCUGCCCCCUUGAUCCAGCUAUAAACCACAAACCUUGCCUCCAUGCUGUAUGUAGUAAUCCUGCCUCCUUGUUCAGCUGUAUGCAAAACCCCACCUCACUAUUCAAUUAUACAUAAUAAAUAUGCUGAGUUUAAGGGGUACUGCAGCUCCUUCAUCUGAAAGCUGAGACCACCCAACCCCCAGCUGUUCUGUGUCCAUCAUUCCACAUUCCCUCAAUGUCUCCAGUGAGGUCCAAAUCCCAGGAGCCAUGCAUAAAUGUGGCUUCCUGAGGGACAUCUGAAGAUGAUCUCUUGCCCACAUCCAAAUACACAUGAACACACACACACACACACACACACACACACACACACACACACACUUGUGUACAAAAUCUGUGCAAGCUCAAACCAGACAAUAUCUCAGUACCGGAGUGAGAGUGUGUAUGCAGUCCCAUGCUUAGCUGAAGAGCUACUAGCAAUUACUAGCUGCUGAGAAAAGCAGGACCAGUUUUCUCGCAUAUCAACCACACUUCAUGGCAAGCCCAACACCCAUAGGGACUGAGAGAGGAAGUAAGGGAAGAAAGAAAAGGGGGUGGGUAAAGAGGAAGGGGAAAGGAGAGGGAAACAAAGUGCAUAAAGUAGGGUGGGUAGGGAGGUCGGAGUGGACCUGGGAGGAGUUAGGAGUGAAUAUGAUCAAAAUACAUCAUUAACUCAAAGAAAUAAUAAAAAUAUUAUUUAAAAAAAAGUUAACACAAACCCUUCCCUAAACUAAAAUACCAAUAUUUUCUUCAAUUUAUUACUAUUAGAUUUAUAGAAAUUAUUUUAAAUGUAAAUAUUCUUUUUUUUAAAAAUUCCUUACUUUACAAAUAUUGCUUAGCACCAACUAGGUUUUAAGCAUGGUAAGGCCUUUCUCCACAUCUAUUAUAUGGAAAGAAGUUCACAUCUAGUCUAUUUUAUGCAGUAUAGUGCUAUAUGUCAGUGUGUAAUUAAAAGUCCACUGAUUUAUAAAGUCUAUUACCUAAGAAUACAGCAGUGGAAAUCCUAGUUAGUCUACCUUGUUUCUUUCAGAUGUCUAACUAGUGUCUGUCUUGGAUCAGGUGUAAAUACUCUACUCUCAAGUCUAAUUCUAAUAUCCUGCCAAGGCAUUUGUCACACAGUUUGAAUAAAAGAAUUCAUGAGACUGGAUUUGGGAUUAAUAACAAGAUUACGAACUUGAGAAAUCAAGUAACAAACAACAGUGUUUAAAAUGCUACUUAGUUCUUAACACAGACUAUAGCCUUUGAAAAAACAAAACAACAAAAAUAGAACUCAUCAGUGCAUAGCUCACCUAGCUCAAAUGGGCUGGAAAUCACUGUGUAGCUUUUACUGGUCUUGGAUUUGUGAUCUUUUGCUACAGAUUCCCAAGUGCUGGGAUUAUCGAUGUGUAACACUAUGCCUGACUACACCUUGAUUUUUUUUAGGCCAGGGGUGGGGGUGGAUCUUUUUCUUUUCUUUUUGAGAUUAUAAAAGUUACAUCAUUUUGCUUUUCUCUCAUCCCACCAAACCAUCCUUGCUUAUUUUCACAUUCAUGGCUCCUUUUUCCCCACUAAUUGUUGUUACAUGCACAUAUGUGCAUGUAUAAGUGUAUGUAUGUAUGUAUGUAUGUAUGUAUGUAUGUAUGUAUGCAUAAGCACAUGUCCUAACUACAACCUGCUCAGUUUGUAUAAUGCUCCGUGUAUGUUUUUGUACUUUCAGGGCUGCCCAUUCGGAACUGGAUAAGUAACUGGGCUCUGCCCGGAGAAGACUCUCUCUCCCAUUCUCAGCAUUCCGCAGGAGCCUGUAGUUCUCUGGGCACAGCUGAAGCCUAGUGGGUUUUCUACCAUGCACUCUGGUGGUGGUCUACGUUUAGGCAGUCAUGCUGAACAAAAGAAGGAAAGAAAAAGAACAGAGGAAAGCAUGACAAUGAGGUAAGUUUUAAAUAUAUUUAAUGGUAAAGUAUAGCUAGUAUGAUACUAGGCAUCUGCUACAAGAAAAGUAUGUCUUCACUUGCAUAUCCUUAGUCCAGGCCUUUCAUGAGAAAGAAAAGUUUGGAUAAAGGGCUAAGUGAAAACAGAAGAGGAACUUCCCUGGUGACUGUGCUGGGCCAGUGGUUACUGGCUGCCACUGAAAUAUAGGUACAAAAAUCACAUUUUUUUUCUUAUACAAAGCAAGUACAUCUAGACUACUAGAGAAUGAUAAAGCGUCUGUGCAUUUCUAUGAAGAGCUCUCUAAGGCAGACUCUAUAAGGCAGAAUUUGAGUGUCAUGUGAGCCAUGGAAGGAAGACGACACUCAGUGCUUUGAGAAGGUUCCAGCAACAAGAGUCAGCAAUUUAGACAAUGCUUAGCACUGAAGCCCAUCUAGCAUAAUGAAGAAAUCUAUCCCUCCAGAAUUGUGACUUACAAAGGAGUAAUUACAUACAAGAAAAGCAUGAUGGGAGUCUUUCUAUGAUGUGGUGAUUGAUGAGAGGCAAAGGUAAAGUAAGAACACUAAGAAAAGACCUCAUUGUGCAAUGGUCCCACAAAAAGCCCACAAAGAAAUUGGAGUCUAGUGCUGUAAGUCUGACAUGCUGAAGGUUAUUAUAUACAGCAUUAACAAAACCCACACCCACCCGGCCCACCAGUGAAAAGAUUAUCACACACAUGUGCAUACACACACAUAUGCACACACAUACAUGAAGGGAAGAUACUAUCCACUCUGGCUUCUACACAAAAUGCCUAGGAUAAAACAAAGUGCAACACUCUCAGUCCUGUAGCAGUUUGCUUGUAGGUACCCCUUUACUCAUCCUAUCUCCAUUCCAUGGGGACUCCUUCUCUCGGUUUAGACAUAGCUUAGCUCUUUCUAGUGGAUACUCUCAAGGAAGACUUAAUGCCAAUAUUCCUCAAAUUAUUCUUCAAAAGAGAAACUGAAGGGACAUUUCACAUUUCUUUUUAUGAGGCCACUAUUACUCAAUACCUAAAUUACAAACACCCACCCCUCCCAAAAAAAAUUAUAGACCAAUAUCCCUAUGAACAUAGAUGCAAAAAUUCUCAAUAAAAUACUUGCAAAACUGAAUCCAUGAAAAUAUCAAAAAGAUUGUCUACCAUGAUCAAGUUGGAUUCAUCCCAAACAUGGUUCAUAUAUAAAUUGAUAAAUUUAAUCUACCACACAAACAGACAUAAGACAAAACCAAAUGAUCAUCUCAUUAGAUUCAGAAAAGGCCUUUAACAAAAUCCAUCCUUCUUUCAUGAUAGGAAUAUAUGGGCCAUACCUCAACAUAAUAGACAAUCUAUAGCAACACAAACAACAUCAACCUAAAUGGAAAAAAACUCAAAGCAUGUCCACUAAAAUCAGGAACAAGAUAAGGUUGUCCACUCUCUCCAUACCUACUCAAUAUAAUAUGUGAAGUCUUAGCUAGAGCAAUAAGACAAGUAAAUGAAAACUAGGGGAUACAAAUUGGAAAGGAAAAAGUCAAAGUAUAUUUAUUUGCAGAAGAUACUGUUUUAUACAUAAAAGAUCUAAUCUAAAAAUUCUACCAGGAAACUUGUACAGCUGAGAAACACUUUCAGGAAAGUAGCAAUAUUCAAAAUUAACACACAAAAAUCAGUAGCCUUUCUAUAUACAAAUGACAAGCAGACUAAGAAAUCAGAGAAAUGGUACCUUUCACAAUGGCACCCAAAAAUUAAAAAAUAUAACUUAUUUUUAAAAAUCUAAGGACAGAUUUAAAAAAAAAAAACUAAAACAAUUACGACACUGAAGAAAGAAGUUGAGGAAGACAUUAGAAGUUGGAAAGGUCUCCCAUGCUCAAGAAUCAGUAGGAUUAAUAUAAUGAAAAUGGCCAUCCUGUCAAAAACUGUCUAUAGAUUUAAUAUAAUGCCAUCAAUAUUCCAACACAGUUCUUCACAGAAAUUAAAAAAAGAUAAUUUUCAGCUUCAAAUAGAAACACAAAUAACCCAGGAUAGCUAAAAUAAUCCCAAAUAAUAAAAGAACUGUUGGAAAUACUACAACCCCCAAUUUCAAGUUGUACUACAGAGCUUCAGUAAUAAAAUCAGCAAGGUAUUGACUUCAGACCCUUGGAUCAAUGUAGUCAAAUUAAUCCCCAGACAUAAUUCUACUAACCUAUGGACACCUGAUUUUUGACAAAGAAGCCAGAAAUACACACUAGAAAAAAGACAGGAUCUUUAACAAAUGGUUACUGAUCAAAUUGGAUGGUUGCAUGUAGAAAGCAAAUCCAUUCAUAUUCAAGAUCCUGCACAAAACUCAAUUCCAAAUGGAUCAAGGACUUUAACCUAAGGCCAGAUACACUGAAUUUGAUAGAAUAAGAAAGUGAGGAAUAGUCUUGAACUCACUGGCACAGAAAAACACUCCUUAAACAGGACACCAAUAGCAUAGGCACUAAAAACAAUAAAUACGACCCAAUGAAACAAAAAAAGCUUCGUUAUGACAAAGGACAACACCAUCCAGAUAAAAUGGCAGGCUACAGAAUGUGAAAAGGAUCUUUGCUAAUUAUACAUCCAAUAGAGGGCUAAUAUCUAAAAUAUAUAAUGAACUAAAUAAAACCCUGGACAUUAUGAAAAGCUAACCCACAACUGGACAAUAUGCAAAAAGUGAAGAGGUUUCUAAAUGUGAUCUUUUCAUGAAACCCCCCCUCUCAGGUCUGAGAGAGCUAAUGUGGAAUAGGAGACAGAAGGAAUAUCAGAGCCAGAGGGAAUGGAUGACUCCAAGGAACAGUAACAGUGAUUCCUAGACACAACAAAACUGAUACACACAUUAACUGGGAGACUGUGGCAGCAUGCAUGAAGCCUGCACAGCUUCAAGCCAGACGAGAUGCCAGUCCUGAGUUGGGAAGGUGGAAAAGGGAUCCCACCCUAACCAAGAAGCUUUCUGCAACUGGCACCCGUGUGCAAAGGCAAGAUUAGUUUUCUAUGGUGGAGUCUCACAGGGUAUAGUAAACACAUUUCGGGGUAGGCUCCAUGCUCAGCAAAUAUUCUAAAACAUAUCCUUUUAGGUUUUAGUUACUAGAGGCUUCGUUACAUAGACAUUAGUAAGUUCUUACCUACCAAUAAUUAAUAUUUUUUAAACAUAAAUGGCUUAAAUUCUUCAACCAAAAGAUAAACAAACUCACAUCUCAAAAUACAUGUCUAUAAGACUUGAACUUUAAUGCACGCACAGGUGAGAAACCAAAAGUAUUUCUAUUUGUUUAAAGGGACUUGAGGUAAAAAACUAUAAAAACAGACAAAUGUCAUUAUGAAAUUAAUCAUGAGGAUACAGUAAUUAUAAACACACACACACACACACACACACACACAUAUACAUAAUACUAGAGAACCGAAAUAUAUCAAAUAAAUAUGAAAGGAUAGAAAGGGAAAGUUAUAUUACAAUAAAUUAUAAGGAAACUUAGGUAUACAGCUUUCAACACUAGUGAUUAUCCAGACAGGAAACUGAAAAGGAAACAUUAAAUUUGAACUAUAUAUCAGACCAAAGGGACCGAAUACACAUGCAGAACAUCCCAUCCAAAAGCAACAAUACAUAUUCUUCUCAAGUAUAUAGAAAAGUCUCCAGGACAGAUCAUGUGCGAUCACAAGACAAAUUUGAACAAAUUGAAGAAAAUCUAAUGUAGCUAAAAUCAUAAUCACCAUCUUUACUUACUGACAGUAGUACAAAUUAAAAGAAAACACAAAUAACUGGAAAAUAAGCAGCGUUACACAAUCACUACCCUAACUAAAUAAUAAUAAGGCGAAAGUUGGUAAUAUCAUGAGAGAUCCUAGCCUAGCAUGGGGUCAAUCACCAGCAUUGUAAAACAACCACAAUAAAAACAUCUUGAGCUUGGCGGUUGUGGUCUAUGCCUUUAACCUUAGCACUUGGAAGGCAGAGGCAGGCUGAUCUCUGAGUUCUGAGUUGAAGGCCAGCCUGGUCUACAGAUCUAGUUCCAGGACAGCCACUGCUACACAGAGAAACCCUGUCUCGAAAAGACAAAAACAAAGAAAACAAAACAAAAACAUCUUGAGACAAACUCUAAAUGGGGACAUAGCCCAUUGAAAGUUACAGAAUGUUGGAGGCCCUGCUGGUCAGAGGUUGCAGUCUACAUUGGCUUGAUAACUCUCUCCUAGCUUGGUACAAUAUGGAGGAAAGUGUGUGCGCGCACACACACACACACACACACACACACACACACACCCCACCCAGGAAGGGCUAACUUCAUUUGGAGAAUGUCUCUAAUCCUGGAUGCCUGAUUAUCUCAAGGAGGACCCUUGACACAGUUCCCUACAAAGUUCUUCCCCUUCUGCCCAUAUGGUGACUAGGUGACAAGCUCUAGCUGUUUUGAUAGGGCUGCACUGCCACUAAUCCAGCUAUAUGCUAAGAGCAGGCCACUUAAUGCAAAUUAGGUGAUUCCCCAGCUCUUGUCCCCAAUCCUAUCUCAUGUGGAAUCAAGUUGUGCUGCCUCACUGAGGCUGUCUCCUGAAGGCUACUUCUGCCGUGUUCACAGGCCGUGCAAAGCUGUCUGCCCCUGCUUAUGACUUUGUCCUCAUGGACUGGUGGCCAAAGGACCUUGAGGAAAAAGGGAACCCCAAAAUGGAAGGCAAUAAAAUACCUCAAGACAAAUUUACAAUAAAGCUUUACAGGCUCAGGAGUUUGAACUCUUGGUCCUCAACAGAUGGCACUGUUUUUGGAGGGUGUAGAACCUUUGAGGUGGGAGGUACAGUUUGUAGUGGGCAGGUCAAACUUGCAGGUACAGAUGAGCUUUCUCUCAAGGUAGGUCUCUGGGUUCCGAUCUGCACAUGUGUGACCAGCCUUGCCUUAAGAUCCACUGUCAUUCCUUCCCCACCACAACUGACGAGACAUUAACUGAAACUUCAGCUAAAUAAACCUCUUUCCUUGCGUUUACUUUUGAUGGGUAUUUUACCAUAGGGACUGGAAAAACCAACACAAUACAAUAAUAAUAAUAAGAAGAAAAAAUUAACAACUUAAUGUUACACCUCAAGGAAGAAGUAUAAGAACAAACUAAAUCCAAACUUAGGCAAAUAAAUGGAACAAUAAAGAUCAAUGUAAAUACUAAAAUAAAAAAUAGAAGAUCAGGGUAUGGUGGCAUACACCUGUAAUAUGAGUUUUCAGAAAGUCUAGGCAGGAAGGUAAAAGUUCAAAUAGCCUGUGACACUAGACCUUAUAUUAAAAAGACAAAAAUGAAGGCUAGAAAACACAUAGAAGAAAAAAAAAUCUAUGGAACUAAAAGCUAGAUUUUGAAGAAUAAAACUGAGAAACCAUUACCUACAUUAAGAAAAAAAGCAGUGAAGAGUCAAAUCAAUAAACAUAUAUGAAUAAAGACAUUACAGUGAUUCCACAAAAACAUACUCUAAUGAACAAUUUACACACAAACAAACUGGGAAACCUAAAAUAAAUGGAUUAAACUCUUGUACACACAAUUUAUCAAGAUUGAACCAAGAAAAAAAAAAAAACCC